AUAGGCGUGGCUGAAUGGUUACGCUGUUCGCUUUGUAAGCGGAAGGAUCUGGGUUCGAUUCCCAUCUGCUCCUAUC
rnacentral:tRNA from 1 species